rnacentral:rRNA from 1 species
GACGAACGCUGGCGGCGUGACUAAUACAUGCAAGUCGAACGCAGUGGGGACGGGUGAGUAACACGUGGGUAACCUCCCAUCAGAGGGGAUAACACUUGGAAAAAGGUGCUAAACCGAUACUGAUGGAUGAACCCGCGGUGCAUUAGCUAUUUGGUGAGGUAACGGCUCACCACGGCCACGAUUCAUAGCCGACCUGGUAGGGUGUUCGGCCACACUGGACCUGAGGCACGGCCCAGACUCCUACGUGAGGCAGCAGUAGGGAAUCUUCGGAAAUGGACGAAAGUCUGACCGAGCAACGCCGCGGGAGUGAAGAAGGGUUUCGGAUCGUAAAACUCUGUUGUUAGAGAAGCGGUAUCUAACCAGAAAGCCACGGCUAACUACGUGCCAGCCGCCGCGGUAAUAC